UACGGAGGGUGCAAGCGUUAUCCGGAUUUACUGGGUUUAAAGGGUGCGUAGGUGGGUUGGUAAGUCAGUGGUGAAAUACUUUCGCUUAACGAAGGAACUGCCAUUGAUACUACCAGUCUCGAAUACAGUGGAGGUAGGCGGAAUGCGUCAUGUAGCGGUGAAAUGCUUAGAUAUGACGCAGAACACCAAUUGCGAAGGCAGCUUGCUACACUGUUAUUGACACUGAGGCACGAAAGCGUGGGGAUCAAACAGG
rnacentral:rRNA from 1 species